AAAGCUGGGAUGGCUGACCCCAACUGGCCUAAGGAAUAUUCCAUACCCUGUGGCAUCAUGCUCAGCAUAUAAAGCUGGAGGAAGACAAAGAAAGGUGGAAUAUUUGGAGGGUUGGCAUUUGUCUUCCCAAGCCACCAUCAUAUGAGGCGGAGCCCUGCUCUUCUGGAGAUGGCUGAAUAUCUGCUUGUCAAUAGACUGUGAUCCUGUGAAUGCCCUUAUCCCUGGAAAUAAGUAGAAGGACCACCUAAGAGGAUGAAGAACUGUGGUCAGUCUUCUUGGUACAAGACGAUCUUCUACAGAGUGUUUUGAAAUGCUUUGGCACUGCAAGUAGUACAUAAAAGCCAUUGGAAUGAAGUCUAUGAAAGUGGUUUAUCAUAAUUUUCUCUUGGAACAAUUAUGGCAAUUAGAUACACUGAUACUUUUGUAUCUUUAGAACCACAAUAUUUGGAGAGAAAUGAUUAGAAGGAGUUUCUUACUAGAAAUAGAUCUAAAACUAUGGGUUUGAUGACAUUCUUAGCUUAUUUGUGCUAUAAGCAAGAUAAUGAUGACAGAUAUCAAGGUCAGGGUAAUUACUUUCUAUAUUUGGAUUAGUAUUACCCUGGGUGUUAUACACAAACUAUCUACAAACAUCAGUCUAUUGCUGUCCUUCCUCAGGAACAGACUUUUCACUUUUACAUUAUGAGCUUUAAUGCAUGUGCCAAAAUAAUA